GCCGGGGUGUUGAAAUGGCAGACAAGCACGCUUCAGAAGCGUGUGGCCUGUAAGGGCCGUGGAGGUUCAAGUCCUCUCCCCGGCACUA
rnacentral:tRNA from 7 species